GCCGGUGAUGGGUUCGUCGGCGAUGGGGUCUUCGAGUUUAGGUUUCUUGAGGGGGAAAUGAUGAUGAUGGUGAUGAUGAGAGUCCAUUGAGUAAUCGAAUGGAGAAGUUUAAGAGGAAGAAGCGCCGCCUGCGUUUAAUUUGAUGUGAGCAACGGCUACUGUAUGGUAGUGAU